rnacentral:rRNA from 1 species
CUACGGGCUGCUGCAGUGAGGAAUAUUGCACAAUGGGCGCAAGCCUGAUGCAGCCAUGCCGCGUGUAUGAAGAAGGCCUUCGGGUUGUAAAGUACUUUCAGCGGGGAGGAAGGGAGUAAAGUUAAUACCUUUGCUCAUUGACGUUACCCGCAGAAGAAGCACCGGCUAACUCCGUGCCAGCAGCCGCGGUAAUACGGAGGGUGCAAGCGUUAAUCGGAAUUACUGGGCGUAAAGCGCACGCAGGCGGUUUGUUAAGUCGGAUGUGAAAUCCCCGGGCUCAACCUGGGAACUGCAUCUGAUACUGGCAAGCUUGAGUCUCGUAGAGGGGGGUAGAAUUCCAGGUGUAGCGGUGAAAUGCGUAGAGAUCUGGAGGAAUACCGGUGGCGAAGGCGGCCCCCUGGACGAAGACUGACGCUCAGGUGCGAAAGCGUGGGGAGCAAACAGGAUUAGAUACCCCGGUAGUC